ACCUACUAACCUGAAUGUCGGUGCGGGCAGCGGAGCGGGAGUAAGGAGUGUUCGUGAUCGACAGACGACUGGAGAUCGGAGGAUCAGCCGUUGUAGGUAGGCCGAGACCCUAGCACCUACCUGGAGAGUACCUGAGGAGGAAGAAAGUCGAUACGUACCAGGUAGUACAGUAAAUUCAGAGCUGGCACUAUUGAAAUGAACGCUGAAGAAUGAAGUUAGUGUUCUGUGAGGCUAACAGGAUGAGGAUACGAUUAAUGGCUUGUCAUUCCUCGCAGCGGCAGGUGCCCAUCGAGAAUACGCAAGGAACCGCUCUGCUUCUGGGACGAGGUCUUUAACUCGGAGCCAUUUCGACACUUCCUUGUUGACAUCUUGACUGUCCUGAUCGUGGGGAUGUCUUCAUGGAGGGUCAUGCUCUUCCACUGGUUAAACUUUUCUUCAAUAGUGACGAUGUCUUCAUUUUUCUGGGCUGUGCUCUUAUUUAAGUUUAGUGGUGUGUACUUCUUAUUAGAAUUUCAUAUGCUCGUGUGGGGUGCUGAAUCCUAUUUUCGUUAAAGAUAAUAUAUCUUUAGAAGUUUUAUCUGACUGUUGUGUAAAUUUUUUAUCACUAAUUUUUAUUGCAACACCAACAAAUUCCAUUCAAUACAACCAGUUGCCAAUUACAUUUUGACUGUUUAACCCAGCCAAACUGUUGUGUAAAUUUUGUAUGUCUAUUAUACAUUUUCCUCCUUCUGUCCUAAGUAGUUUUAAUAUAAGUGUGUUUUGCACAGAUUGUCUUGCAAGCACAUUGGUUAUUUGUCUUUGUGUAUAUUCAUUCUAUUGUAUUUCUUUGUAUCUACUGUGAAUGCCCAAAAAAUGAAUCUCAGGGUAACAUAUGGUGAUAUUAA